GUGGUUUGUCCAAAUGCGGUUGCUGAGCCGAGCAGUGCAGUAGUCCUGGACGCUACACAGAGUGAUGCUGGUUCCUGCCGACAGGGCCUGUCCAGUGUUUGGGUUCUCUGUGCAAGGGUUCCACACAAA